GAUGAACGCUAGCGAUAGGCUUAACACAUGCAAGUCGAGGGGUAACGUGUUGGAAGCUUGCUUCCGAUGACGACGACCGGCGGAUGGGUGCGUAACGCGUAUGCAACUUGCCUCACAGUGGAGAAUAACCCGGAGAAAUCCGGACUAAUACUCCAUACACUCUUAAGUACGCCUGUACAUGAGAGGAAAGAUUUAUCGCUGUGAGAUAGGCAUGCGUCCUAUUAGGUAGUUGGUGAGGUAACGGCUCACCAAGCCGACGAUAGGUAGGGGUGCUGAGAGGCAGAUCCCCCGCAUUGGGACUGAGACACGGCCCAAACUCCUACGGGAGGCAGCAGUGAGGAAUAUUGGUCAAUGGAGGAAACUCUGAACCAGCCAAGUCGCGUGAAGGAAGAAUGUCCUAAGGAUUGUAAACUUCUUUAGCGAGCGAGUAAGGACUUCCACGUGAUGGGAGUUUGAAAGUAGCUCGAGAAUAAGUAUCGGCUAACUCCGUG
rnacentral:rRNA from 1 species